CCUACGGGAGGCAGCAGUGAGGAAUAUUGGUCAAUGGACGAGAGUCUGAACCAGCCAAGUAGCGUGAAUGAUGACUGCCCUAUGGGUUGUAAACUUCUUUUAUAUGGGAAUAAAACGUUCCACGUGUGGGAUUUUGUAUGUACCAUAUGAAUAAGGAUCGGCUAACUCCGUGCCAGCAGCCGCGGUAAUACGGAGGAUCCGAGCGUUAUCCGGAUUUAUUGGGUUUAAAGGGAGCGUAGGUGGAUUGUUAAGUCAGUUGUGAAAGUUUGCGGCUCAACCGGAAAAUUGCAGUUGAAACUGGCAGUCUUGAGUACAGUAGAGGGGGGCGGAAUUCGUGGUGUAGCGGUGAAAUGCUUAGAUAUCACGAAGAACUCCGAUUGCGAAGGCAGUUCACUGGACUGCAACUGACACUGAGGCUCGAAAGUGUGGGUAUCAAACAGGAUUAGAUACCCCAGUAGUC
rnacentral:rRNA from 1 species